rnacentral:tRNA from 1 species
UCAGAAAAACAAAACUACGAAUUUGCACUAGCAACUCCCAAAGCUACCGUUCUUCUUUAAACUAUUUUCUG